UACGUAGGGACCGAGCGUUGUCCGGAAUCAUUGGGCGUAAAGAGCGUGUAGGCGGCCACUUAAGUCCUGCGUGAAAUCUUGCGGCUCAACCGCAAGCGGUCGUGGGAAACUGGGUGGCUAGAGUGCGGAAGAGGCGAGUGGAAUUCCUGGUGUAGCGGUGAAAUGCGCAGAUAUCAGGAGGAACACCAAUGGCGAAGGCAGCUCGCUGGGACGGUACUGACGCUGAGACGCGAAAGCGUGGGGAGCAAAUAGG
rnacentral:rRNA from 1 species